AAUGGGCGAAAGCCUGAUCCAGCCAUGCCGCGUGUGUGAAGAAGGCCUUCGGGUUGUAAAGCACUUUAAGCGGGGAGGAAGUACUUGGGGCUAAUACCCCUGAGUGUUGACGUUACCCGCAGAAUAAGCACCGGCUAACUCUGUGCCAGCAGCCGCGGUAAUACAGAGGGUGCAAGCGUUAAUCGGAAUUACUGGGCGUAAAGCGCGCGUAGGCGGUUUGUUAAGUCGGAUGUGAAAUCCCCGGGCUCAACCUGGGCACGGCAUCCGAUACUGGCUGACUAGAGUGUGGGAGAGGAAGGUAGAAUUCCAGGUGUAGCGGUGAAAUGCGUAGAGAUCUGGAGGAAUACCGAUGGCGAAGGCAGCCUUCUGGCCUAACACUGACGCUGAGGUGCGAAAGCAUGGGGAGCAAA
rnacentral:rRNA from 1 species